rnacentral:rRNA from 1 species
UAUUAUUUAAAAUGUAAUUAUUUAUACUAAAGUAGUAAUAGUUAUGUUCUUGAAACUUAAAAAAUUUGGCGGUAUUUUAGUCUAUCCAGAGGAACCUGUUUUGUAAUCGAUAAUCCACGAUGGACCUUACUUAAAUUUGUAAUCAGUUUAUAUACCGUCGUUAUCAGAAUAUUUUAUAAGAAUAAUAAUAUUCAAUAAUUUUUAUUAAAAUUUAUAUCAGAUCAAGGUGUAGCUUAUAUUUAAGUAAUAAUGGGUUACAAUAAAUUUAUUUAAACGAAUAAAAUUAUGAAAAAAUUUUUGAAGGUGGAUUUGGUAGUAAAAUUAUAAAGAUUAAUAAUUUGAUUUUAGCUCUAAAAUAUGUACACAUCGCCCGUCGCUCUUAUUAUUAAGGUAAGAUAAGUCGUAACAUAGUAGAUGUACUGGAAAGUGUAUCUAGAAUGA